rnacentral:rRNA from 1 species
GACGAACGCUGGCGGCGUGCUUAACACAUGCAAGUCGUACGGUAAGGCCCUUUCGGGGGUACACGAGUGGCGAACGGGUGAGUAACACGUGAGUAACCUGCCCACAACUUUGGGAUAACGCUAGGAAACUGGUGCUAAUACUGGAUAUGUGCUCCUGCUGCAUGGUGGGGGUUGGAAAGCUCCGGCGGUUGUGGAUGGACUCGCGGCCUAUCAGCUUGUUGGUGGGGUAGUGGCCUACCAAGGCGGCGACGGGUAGCCGGCCUGAGAGGGUGACCGGCCACAUUGGGACUGAGAUACGGCCCAGACUCCUACGGGAGGCAGCAGUGGGGAAUAUUGCACAAUGGGCGCAACCCUGAUGCAGCAACGCCGCGUGCGGGAUGACGGCCUUCGGGUUGUAAACCGCUUUCAGCAGGGACGAAGCUUUUUGUGACGGUACCUGCAGAAGAAGCACCGGCUAACUACGUG